rnacentral:rRNA from 1 species
UACGUAGGGGGCGAGCGUUGUCCGGAUUUAUUGGGCGUAAAGAGCGUGUAGGCGGCCAGGUAGGUCUGCUGUGAAACUCGAAGCUCAACCUCGAGACGUCGGCGGAAACCAUCUGGCUAGAGUCCGGAAGAGGAGAAUGGAAUUCCUGGUGUAGCGGUGAAAUGCGCAGAUAUCAAGAAGAACACCCAUGGCGAGGGCGGCUCUCUGGGACGGUACUGACGCUGAGACGCGAAAGCGUGGGGAGCGAACAGG